GAAUUUCGGCUGAGUGUGUUGGUGAGGAACAAUAUCCAAGAUAAUUGUGUCCAGGCUGUAGGACAGUGACAAGAGAGCAGGAACUCAGUAUUCUCCUUUCUUCCUGUUUGGCCUCCUCUGCCCUGGAUGCAACGGGAGUAAACACAGUGGAAGGAUUUGUAUUCCAACAAAGAAGAACAAUUGCAGCAGUGUUUAAAUUCACAAGCCUGGAAGCCAUGGGAUCCCAGGAAUAGGCUUCUCCCUCUAGUGGCAGCAGAAAGGGAG